UACGGGGGGAGCAAGCGUUGUUCGGAUUUACUGGGCGUAAAGGGCGCGUAGGCGGCGUGACAAGUCACUUGUGAAAUCUCCGGGCUUAACUCGGAACGGUCAAGUGAAACUGUCGUGCUAGAGUACAGAAGGGGCAACUGGAAUUCUCGGUGUAGCGGUGAAAUGCGUAGAUAUCGAGAGGAACACCUGCGGCGAAGGCGGGUUGCUGGGCUGAUACUGACGCUGAGGCGCGAAAGCGUGGGGAGCAAACAGG
rnacentral:rRNA from 1 species